GCACCCGGCCCAGCGGAGGAUCGGCGGGUGCAGGGGUCGCGGAGAGAGGGCGAAGGCAGCAAUAAAGUGUGGGAGCCAGCUCAGAUGAUCAACAAAGAACUAAAGUAACAGGCAUUUCAGGACAAUAUUUCAGUGUUGUUCCAACAGAUAGAGACUUUGACAAGCCACUAAUGUCACCCCAAUGAUGCCAACUGAAAAUCUGAGCAGUAUAAGAAAAGUCAAAAAAAAUCCAAAGAUCUUCCAGGCUACAGACAUCUCUCUGUGGAAGAAAGGGUGUGUCAUUUCAGCUCAUAGGACCAGGCAU